rfam:Edwardsiella tarda EIB202, complete genome.
AUUCCAAUUGAUGACGACUUCCCUGAUAAUAGCGCCCCGUUUGGCAACGGGAAUCAGGAGAUCUCAUGUUC